UAGGGAAUCUUCGGCAAUAGACGGAAGUCUGACCGAGCAACGCCGCGUGAGUGAAGAAGGUUUUCGGAUCGUAAAGCUCUGUUGUAAGAGAAGAACGAGUGUGAGAGUGGAAAGUUCACACUGUGACGGUAUCUUACCAGAAAGGGACGGCUAACUACGUGCCAGCAGCCGCGGUAAUACGUAGGUCCCGAGCGUUGUCCGGAUUUAUUGGGCGUAAAGCGAGCGCAGGCGGUUAGAUAAGUCUGAAGUUAAAGGCUGUGGCUUAACCAUAGUAGGCUUUGGAAACUAUUUAACUUGAGUGCAAGAGGGGAGAGUGGAAUUCCAUGUGUAGCGGUGAAAUGCGUAGAUAUAUGGAGGAACACCGGUGGCGAAAGCGGCUCUCUGGCUUGUAACUGACGCUGAGGCUCGAAAGCGUGGGGAGCAAACAGGAUUAGAUACCCUGGUAGUCCACGCUGUAAACGAUGAGUGCUAGGUGUUAGACCCUUUCCGGGGUUUAGUGCCGUAGCUAACGCAUUAAGCACUCCGCCUGGGGAGUACGACCGCAAGGUUG
rnacentral:rRNA from 1 species